AUUGAACGCUGGCGGCAGGCUUAACACAUGCAAGUCGAGCGAGCGGCGGACGGGUGAGUAAUGUCUGGGAAACUGCCUGAUGGAGGGGGAUAACUAAUGGAAACGGUAGCUAAUAACGCAUACCAUCAGAUGGGCCCAGAUGGGAUUAGCUAGUUGGUGGGGUAAUGGCUCACCUAGGCGACGAUCCCUACCUGGUCUGAGAGGAGGAUCAGCCACACUGGAACUGAGACACGGUCCAGACUCCUACGGGAGGCAGCAGUGGGGAAUAUUGGACAAGGGGCGCAAGCCUGAUGCAGCCAUGCCGCGUGUAUGAAGAAGGCCUUCGGGUUGUAAAGUACUUUCAGUGAGGAGGCGUUACCCGCAGAAGAAGCACCGGCUAACUCCGUGCCAGCAGCCGCGGUAAUUC
rnacentral:rRNA from 1 species